UACGUAGGGUGCGAGCGUUGUCCGGAAUUAUUGGGCGUAAAGGGCUCGUAGGCGGUCUGUUGCGUCGGGAGUGAAAACUCAGGGCUUAACCCUGAGCCUGCUUCCGAUACGGGCAGACUAGAGGUAUGCAGGGGAGAGCGGAAUUCCUGGUGUAGCGGUGAAAUGCGCAGAUAUCAGGAGGAACACCGGUGGCGAAGGCGGUUCUCUGGGCAUUACCUGACGCUGAGGAGCGAAAGUGUGGGGAGCGAACAGG
rnacentral:rRNA from 1 species